GACGAACGCUGGCGGCGUGCCUAAUACAUGCAAGUCGAGCGGACCUCUUCGGAGGUCAGCGGCGGACGGGUGAGUAACACGUGGGCAACCUGCCUGUAAGACUGGGAUAACACCGGGAAACCGGUGCUAAUACCGGAUAAUCCUUUUCCUCACAUGAGGGGAAGCUGACAGACGGUUUCGGCUGUCACUUACAGAUGGGCCCGCGGCGCAUUAGCUAGUUGGUGGGGUAACGGCCCACCAAGGCGACGAUGCGUAGCCGACCUGAGAGGGUGAUCGGCCACACUGGGACUGAGACACGGCCCAGACUCCUACGGGAGGCAGCAGUAGGGAAUCUUCCGCAAUGGACGAAAGUCUGACGGAGCAACGCCGCGUGAGCGAAGAAGGCCUUCGGGUCGUAAAGCUCUGUUGUCAGGGAAGAACACGUACCGGAGUAACUGCCGGUACCUUGACGGUACCUGACCAGAAAGCCACGGCUAACUACGUGCCAGCAGCCGCGGUAAAAC
rnacentral:rRNA from 1 species